CUUCUGGAGGCGCCCCUCCCUGAUAUUCCUAAACCAGAAUUUCCAAAAGUUCCAACCUUGCCAAAGCCUGAGAUCCCAACUGUGCCGAAGCCUGAGAUUCCAGCCAUACCAAAGCCUGAAAUUCCUGUUAUGCCAAAGCCUGAAGUACCAACUGUGCCGAAGCCUGAGCUGCCAACUGUCCCAAAGCCUGAGUUACCAACUUUACCAAAACCCGAGAUCCCAACUGUGCCAAAGCCCAAGCUUCCAGCUAUGCCAAAGCCUGAGAUCCCAGCAAUGCCAAAACCUGAGUUGACAAACGCACCAAAGCCUGAAAUCCCAAUGGUUCCAAAGCCCGAGAUUCCUACUAUGCCAAAGCCUGAGCUACCAGCUACUCCAAAACCUGAGUUACCAAAUUUCCCGAAGCCUGAGAUUCCAACAGUGCCAAAGCCUGAGAUUCCAGCCGUGCCAAAGCCGGAGAUACCAAAGUUGUCAAAGCCCGAGCUUCCUCGCCUAGAAAAGCCAGAGGUUCCAGCACUGCCAAAGACUGAGCUUCCUCCAGCUAUGACAAAGCCUGAUGUGCCGACUGUGCCAAAGCUCGAGCAACCAGUGGUGCCAAAAC
rnacentral:lncRNA from 1 species